CGUGCUAUACAUGCAGUCGAACGCGUCUCCGUUAAUGAUUUUAGGUGCUUGCACUUGAAAGAUUUAACAUUGAGACGAGUGGCGAACUGGUGAGUAACACGUGGGUAACCUGCCCUUGAAGUAGGGGAUAACACUUGGAAACAGGUGCUAAUACCGUAUAACAACCAAAACCACCUGGUUUUGGUUUAAAAGACGGCUUCGGCUGUCACUUUAGGAUGGACCCGCGGCGUAUUAGCUUGUUGGUAAGGUAACGGCUUACCAAGGCGAUGAUACGUAGCCGACCUGAGAGGGUAAUCGGCCACAUUGGGACUGAGACACGGCCCAAACUCCUACGGGAGGCAGCAGUAGGGAAUCUUCCACAAUGGACGAAAGUCUGAUGGAGCAACGCCGCGUGAGUGAUGAAGGGUUUCGGCUCGUAAAACUCUGUUGUUGGAGAAGAACAGGUGUCAGAGUAACUGUUGACAUCUUGACGGUAUCCAACCAGAAAGCCACGGCUAACUACGUGCCAGCAGCCGCGGUAAUACGUAGGUGGCAAGCGUUGUCCGGAUUUAUUGGGCGUAAAGCGAGCGCAGGCGGUUUUUUAGGUCUGAUGUGAAAGCCUUCGGCUUAACCGGAGAAGUGCAUCGGAAACCGGGAGACUUGAGUGCAGAAGAGGACAGUGGAACUCCAUGUGUAGCGGUGAAAUGCGUAGAUAUAUGGAAGAACACCAGUGGCGAAGGCGGCUGUCUGGUCUGUAACUGACGCUGAGGCUCGAAAGCAUGGGUAGCGAACAGGAUUAGAUACCCUGGUAGUCCAUGCCGUAAACGAUGAGUGCUAAGUGUUGGGAGGGUUUCCGCCCUUCAGUGCUGCAGCUAACGCAUUAAGCACUCCGCCUGGGGAGUACGACCGCAAGGUUGAAACUCAAAGGAAUUGACGGGGGCCCGCACAAGCGGUGGAGCAUGUGGUUUAAUUCGAUGCUACGCGAAGAACCUUACCAGGUCUUGACAUCUUCUGCCAACCUAAGAGAUUAGGCGUUCCCUUCGGGGACAGAAUGACAGGUGGUGCAUGGUUGUCGUCAGCUCGUGUCGUGGAAAUGUUUGGGUUAAGUCCCGCAACCAACGCAACCCUUUAUUGUUAGUUGCCAGCAUUCAGUUGGGCACUCUAGCAAGACUGCCCGUGACAAACCCGAGGGAAGGGGGGGGGAUGAACGCCAAAUCAUCAAUGGCCCCUUAUAACCUGGGGUUCACCCUUGGUUUCAAUUGGGGGGUCCCCC
rnacentral:rRNA from 1 species